rnacentral:misc_RNA from 1 species
UUUCCGUAGGUGAACCUGCGGAAGGAUCAUUACAUUCAGUAGCUCAGCUACUUGUUUACACCCUUGUCUUUUUGCGUACUUAUCGUUUCCUCGGCGGGCUUGCCUGCCGGUUGGACAACUUUAUAACCUUUUUAAAAUCUUCAAUCAGCGUCUGAAUAAUAUACAAUAAUUACAACUUUCAACAACGGAUCUCUUGGUUCUG